UAGAGAUUGGGCUGUUUCCUCACUGACGCCUGUCUCCUCACGCCUCUGUAAUUUUACUCUUUCAACUGAAUCUCACUCUUUCAACUGCAUGUGAAAGAUAUUCGAUGAAGAUGACUGAAAAUGUCAUUUAUUCUGUAUUAGAGUUUUCUACGGCACCUCAAGCCCAAAAUGACCACAGGCUGCAGCCGAAAGCUUCUUCAAGAUCCUCUCUCUCUUGCUAUGUGGCAGUAGCUUUGGGGCUUCUGGGUGUCAUUCUAGCAAGUUUGCUGCUCUUCCAGUGGAUUCUGUGCCAGGGUUCCACGGUCUCCACGUGUGCCAGCUGUCCUAGCUGCCCCGACCUCUGGAUGGGGCACGGUGACCACUGUUACUACUUCUCAGUGGAGAAAAAGGACUGGAAUUCUAGCUUGGAAUUCUGCUUGGCCAAAGACGCACAUCUCUUUAUGUUUAGAGACAAUCAGGAAAUGGUACUGAUCCAAAAUUUCCUCAAACAUGACUUUUACUGGAUUGGUCUGAGAAACACUUCUGACUGGAGGUGGGAAGAUGGAUCAGCCCUAAAUACCUCAAAAAUUUCUUCAAACAGCUAUGUACAGAAGUGUGGUACCAUCAGCAAAGAUGGUCUCCUAGCCUCUAGCUGUGAAGUCCCUUUGCCAUGGGUGUGUAAGAAGGUCAGACUUUGAUAAGUGGUCAGUCUGCCGUGUAGCUCCCUAAAAAGAGGGAGUUGGUCUCUGGGCAUCAGGACACGGACUGAAGCUUUUCCACCCUUGUUUUCCAAACACCUAAAGUAGCGCUUGCUUGUAUCAGUGAAUGUGACAUACAUGAAUGGAUAAAUAAAAAAAAUAAGAGUUUUAAAAUUC